UACGAAGGAUCCUAGCGUUGUCCGGAUUUACUGGGUUUAAAGGGUGCGUAGGCGGACUAUUAAGUCAGUGGUGAAAGCCGGUAGCUUAACUAUCGAAUUGCCAUUGAAACUGAUAGUCUCGAGUAUAGUUGAGGUAGUUGGAGUGUAUCAUGUAGCGGUGAAAUGCUUAGAUAUGAUACAGAACACCGAUUGCGAAGGCAGAUUACUAAACUAUAACUGACGCUGAGGCACGAAAGCGUGGGGAUCAAACAGG
rnacentral:rRNA from 1 species